CGGGUGCAAAUAGUGUAUCAGGAACAUGUGAUUUUUUCGGAACAGCCAUUGGUGUAUUUUAAAAGUGUGAGUGUCUUUUUUUGUUUUACCUAUUAUUGUAUUUAAUGCUACUUGUUUUUCCAUGAUCUGUGUUGUAGGGAACGAUUGACAGAACUUAAAUAUUUUUGGUUGCUUUUUUAAGUUUGUGUUUCAUGGUUAGAACACAUAUUGGUGAUUAAAUCCUGCUAACAUUAAAUGACGUAUUAAUAUAUAUAUACAGGGAAUAUGGCGGGUGUAACUAAUAGGUUAGGAACUGCUGAUAUUUCCAGUCAUGUUAUUAUUGUUAUGUAAACAGCUUGUUUUGAUAAAAUGUGACGUGAAACAGAAUACUUAACUGCCUGUGUUUUCUUUUUUUGUUUGUUAAUUUCCUUUCUAUUCUUUUAGAUUCCCUCCUACUCGAUUUUAAUGGUUUCAUCGUUGUUAUAUCGACGCUUAUCGCAUUUUUUUUUUGUCAUAUCGAGCUUAAAAUUCAUUUUCACUCUCUGUAUUUAACAUUAAUAUGUUUCGAUAUAAAAUGAAUAUCACUAUUUACAAUUUAAUAGAUAUUUUAAAACAAAGUUGUACGCUUCUGUCCUUUUAGGAGUUUCAAAACGUUCGGUCUAAUAUGUAUCAUUUACUGUUGCUUUGACUUUUACUCAAUAUCUCUCUCAAAUAAAGAUGCAUGAUGCAAAUAAAAUGAAACAAAAAAAGAUAUUAUCAUAGCAAUGCCCCAUAUAUUACCUUUGUAGUUUCUGCCUUUUGACAAGACAUGUUUACCACUCCGAACGGACGUUGAAGACGGUGAUGCCUUCAUUUU
rnacentral:lncRNA from 1 species